rnacentral:misc_RNA from 1 species
UCCACAUUUUUAUGAACGUUGUGUCUAAUUUGCAGGUAAUAUGAUAAAACUGGAAUACCAGUUGCUUUUUUGCUUUUAUGAAAUUAGAUAAUCGGAGAUCGAAUUGGAAUUAUCAAGCUGUCUAAAUUCAUCCCCGCAUCUGACUUAAUUCAUAAUUCAUUGAAAUUAAAAAUCAAAACUUCGGAUUCCUAUAAUAAUAACAGUAUCUGGAGAAACUAAAGCCGGAAAAAAUAGAAAACUUUGAAAUUGGCAGUGCCAACAUCAACUACCUAUGAUAUCUAACUUCAGAUUGAUCUGAGAACAAAUCCUACAAUAAAAUUCACAGAAAAAAAUACUAAGAACAGAAGACAAUAUAUCACCAAUCGAUUGAAAACUAGCAGAAAAGUAAUAUUUGCAAUUAAAGAUGCGAAGGGACUUCUUG